rnacentral:rRNA from 1 species
GUACACGCUGUGACUAGCAUAUCAAUAAGCGGAGGAAAAGAAGCUAACAAGGAUUCCCCUAGUAACGGCGAGUGAAGCGGGAAGAGCUCAAAUUUGAAAUCUUAAAGGGUUUCCCUUUACGAAUUGUAGUUUAAAGAAGUGUUUUCUGUUGAGGUUUUGGUAAAAGUUCUUUGGAAUAGGACAUCAUAGAGGGUGAGAAUCCCGUAUUUGACCUUUACUUUCAACUUUGUGAUACACUUUCAAAGAGUCGGAUUGUUUGGGAAUGCAGUCCAAAAUGGGUGGUAAAUUUCAUCUAAAGCUAAAUAUUGGCGAGAGACCGAUAGCGAACAAGUACCGUGAGGGAAAGAUGAAAAGAACUUUGAAAAGAGAGUUAAACAGUACGUGAAAUUGUCAAAAGGGAAGCGUUUGACACCAGUGUUGUUUUUCUGAAAAUCAAUUAAAGAACUGUUUAUGCUAAGCUGUUUAGACUUUAUCAGCUAUCUGUUUAGUUUUGAGCUUUUCUUUAAUGCACUUUUCAGUUAACAAGUCAACAUCAAUUUCUUUUGCUGUAAAAAAGCUUGAGGAAGGUGGCUUGAGAUUCGUCUUAAGUGUUUAUAGCCUCUUGCCUAUGCAGUCGGAGAGAUUGAGGUCUGCAGCGUAGAUCCUUCGGGGCUAAAUGCAUUUGUGCUAAGUUAUAGCAUUUUAUAGACAACUUGUUGACUAUGAUUUGUCUUGUAGCUUACUCGCUUAUGUUAUUUUACCUACGCUUAGGAUGUUGAGUCGUAGAGCACGCAG